rnacentral:lncRNA from 1 species
GCCCCGACAUCAAUUAAAGUCCGGUCAUUCAAGACCAGAAGAGAAAAAGGGGGGACCUUCCCCAGCGGCCCCUUCGCAAUAAGACUCCGUCCGGACUCCUACGAGAGCCUGACUUCAUCCCCGACUUCGACCACCGAUAAACUCCGUCCGGACUCCCACGGGAACCGGACUCCGUCUCCAACUCCGGCUACAGGCAAACCCCGCUCGGAUUCCUA